GAUGAACGCUGGCGGCGUGCUUAACACAUGCAAGUCGAACGGUGAAGCCAAGCUUGCUUGGUGGAUCAGUGGCGAACGGGAGAGUAACACGUGAGCAACCUGCCCUGGACUCUGGGAUAAGCGCUGGAAACGUUGUCUAACCCUGUAGAUGAGACGUGAGCGCAUGGUCGGGUUUGGAGCGAUUUUUCGGUCUGGGAUGGGCUCGCGGCCUAUCAGCUUGUGGGUGUGGUAAGGGAUCACCGAGGGGGAGACGGGUAGCGGGCCUGAGAGGGGGACCGGCGACACUGGGACUGAGACACGGCCCAGACUCCUACGGGAGGCAGCAGUGGGGAAUAUUGCACAAUGGGGGAAAGCCUGAUGCAGCAACGCCGCGUGAGGGAUGACGGCCUUCGGGUUGUAAACCUCUUUUAGCAGGGAAGAAGCGAAAGUGACGGUACCUGCAGAAAAAGCGCCAGCUAACUACGUGCCAGCCGCCGCGGUAA
rnacentral:rRNA from 1 species